CUAUUGUAAGAGAAAAACAUUUAUGCCCCCAACUACAUAUUCCUGUACUUGAUUUGCUCCAACACAAUCCUAAAUCCUAAUCACUUUCUUGCUUUGGUUACGAUAACAGCUUUUUGGGCUGCCUGGACUACCUUCCUCUUGCUCUUUGCUUAUCUAUACUACUUUUCGCCGGUCUUACAUUGAGAAUUGCCAUGGAUGGAAUCGAACCUUCACGAGAGAUUUUUCUCAAAAUUCAUAAAAGGCGUAAGGAUGGUAGACCAUUGGAAGAGGAGUCUGCAAAAGUAGUGGAACUAAUUGAAGAGAAGUUGAACAAUGGCGAGCUAUCUAAUGAAUAAUCUAAUAAUGGUGUUGCUUGGGAAGGAGAUGUUUAUUCUCAAGUAUUGGGAAGUAAUAGAAGUGGUUACGUACGUGGUUUAGGACUUGGUCCAACACCUUCUUUAUUGUGGGGUAAUAAAUCAUCUUAUGGUAAAUUUGCUUCAGAUGCUUUUGCUAGUAAGGUUGCUCAAAAAUUACAACAAAAAAUAAAGGUGCUAAAGGAGAAACAUGAAGAAAUGAAGUUAAUGAAAGAAAAUCAAAAUAAAAUGUUGGCUGAAUUAUCUUUUAUGAGAUAAAUUUUGUGUAAGUUUGUUUCAACAGGUUCAUCUAUGACUCAAGAUUUCAAUGAAAAUUCUUUUAUGCAGGUAAUUUUUAAAAUUUAAAAUUUUUUCUUGUGAACUAUUUUUUUUAUUUGACAUUACUGCAUUUAUUAGCUUCCUGAUGCUAAUAGUGGUCAUGAGUUAGCACCAUCCAACACCUGAAAUCAGACAUGCCUUGUUUCCUGGGUUGUCGUUUUCUGUUCUCCCAUUCAGAUGAGGCACCUGAAUCUAUGCACUUAUAAUAAAUAGAUAUAAUGGAAUCUGUUCUCACAUAAUGCACCUGUUUCUUACUCAAGCUUUUCUCACCCUGCAUUGGAACAUUAACUUAAAUUUCAAUUUGUUAUGCAAAUGGUGUUAUAGUAAUUGGCAUCACUGCAACUGCUGUGAGACUCAUAGUUUGUGGCUUUGCUGCAGCAUUGGCCUAGAAGAAUUGAGCAUAUUUUGACCUUUUUUUUUAUUUUCUGCAAAAUGUAUUUAAAGUCAAUGAAAUGACAAACAAACUUUUAUUAUGUAUUGACAAAUACCA